AGAUGAGGAGACCGAGAUUACGUGACUUCCCCAGAAUCAAACAACUAAUGAAGAAACUGAGACCCAGAGAGAUGAAAUGACCAGUUCAAGCCACAAAGAGAGCCAAGAGUCAUCCAGGAUGAAAAUUCAGGCCUCUAGACCAUGUUCUAAGACAUGCUGCCUCUCUUUAUCUUUGUAUCCUUUACAUUGUCGGGGAGAGUGUCUUUGUUUUCAGGUGCCCAAUAAAUACCCAUUGAAUGAAUGAA